CAUCUGAGAAAUGGACUGAUGUUCAUAUUGAUGUCCUUUCAUGAUGUCUGACAAUGUAAUGUCUAGUGCAAACAAACGUAACUUAAUAAGAGAAAAGCUCAGAAAAAUACAGAGUGAAAUAUUGAAAUGUUAUUUAUUUUCAGUUAUUAAUUCGUCAGACGGACAGAGAACUGCAGCAGUCUUGGUGUAAAAAUGAGCCUUUUCUUCAAGGUAGUUUAAAAAUACAGAAUUAAUGAAGUAAAUUGGAUUAAAUUGUUUUCAAUUCUUCCUCACUCCUUGUACAUUUUCUUUUCCAGUGGAAACGAAGGCGCU